GGUUCCACAGGGUAGUGGUUAGCACGUCUGCUUUACACACAGAAGGUUCUGGGUUCAGGUUCCACUGGAGCCA
rnacentral:tRNA from 1 species